rnacentral:lncRNA from 1 species
CCCGCUCCCAGCUCGGGACCCCAGACAGUGCCAGACGCCUCCUUGGUGGGCAGCUCCUGGCUGCUCUGCCCGUCUGCAGCCUCCAGGCCACCCUGGGAGGCCCAGGUUCCGGGAGGUAUGAUCAGUGUGUCCACACCAGACUGCAGGCAGAGCAGAGUUGAGGGACCAAGAAGGGUUGGGACAGGUGGGCAGGACCCCAGAACCACUCACAGCCCCGCUGGGUGGAAGCAAAUGGCCCCUCCUCACCCCUGCCCACCUUCUUGGCAGUCUGCCCCCAGGACUGGUCAGACAAGUUCUCGUGGCUGGCCUGGGUGUGGUCACCCUCUGGUGGGGGCCAGCAACGGGGCAAGGCGGGGAGCCUGGCACGCUAAGUCCUGGCACAGGGUCAGGGCAGUGACCCAUCUGUCCCACGCCUGGAGACCUCUGCAUGCCACGCGCCUGCCCUGCCCUGCUGUGGAGCUGGUCACCAUGCGUCAGGGAAGGGCUGGCAUGGCGUGAGGACCCGUCUGUCCUGCGUGGCCAGCUCGGCUGCCACCUCCUCGCCUUGUCUCUGCCCUGCCCGGAACACCAGGGCGCCCCAAGCUGGCCUCAAUGCUCACUCCCUGCCUGGCAUCCUGGCUUACAGUGGUGAGGCAGUACCUGCGCAGAGCAGCCUAGCGCCUGGUGCUCAGCCCCAGAGAGGCCCCCACCCUGCUCAGCAGACCAGGAGACGGCCCAGCACCCACGGCCCCAGCCUCCUCCUGCCUCAUCCUCAAGGCCUGGUCCAGGCCACCUCCUCCCGGAAGCCCAGGCCCCGAGGCAGGACAGGAGGGGCAGAUGCCCUGUGUCCAGCUACAACCCCCUCCCAAAGGAGCCUGCAGCAAAGAAGAAUUGCUGGGAGGAAGAUCACCCUGCUUUAUUGCCUGGGCCUUAAGCCUGCAGGGGUGGGCAGAGAAGACAGACAUGAACUCAGUGGAGUGGGAUGGCUGCCCACGAGCCUGCGGCCCAGGAAAGCCCCCACCAGGAGCAGCGUGCCUCGUCCAAGCUCAGCAUCCCCAAGGCAUCAGUGCCGGGGUGCCAUCACCUCCAAAUGUGUGUGCAAGGCUAGUGUCAUGGGUGUGAGCCAAGUGUGAGCAAGCAGCAAGGGCCGGUGUCUCCCAGCUGCCACCCCUGCCAGGGAUCCUCCCCCUCCCCUGGUGGCAUUGGUCCUGGGAUGGAGCUGGGAAUGGGGUCGGGGAGGCUGAGAGAUGGGAGAGAAGGGGGCUGACCCUGCAGUGCCCCUGAGUUCAGGGCAGUCCCGGCGGCCAAGGGCUUACCUGUGGUGGCAACACGGCAGUCUGUCCUCUCGGUCUUCUGAGCUCUAGGUCCCAGUGCCUGAGUUGAG